AAAUGCAUAGAUAUCACGCAGAACUCCGAUUGCGAAGGCAGCUUACUAAGCUACAACUGACACUGAAGCACGAAAGCGUGGGGAUCAAACAGGAUUAGAUACCCUGGUAGUCCACGCAGUAAACGAUGAUUACUAGCUGUUUGCGAUACACAGUAAGCGGCACAGCGAAAGCGUUAAGUAAUCCACCUGGGGAGUACGCCGGCAACGGUGAAACUCAAAGGAAUUGACGGGGGCCCGCACAAGCGGAGGAACAUGUGGUUUAAUUCGAUGAUACGCGAGGAACCUUACCCGGGUUUGAACGUAGGGAGACAGGGGUGGAAACAUCCUUUUCAGCAAUGACUGCCUACGAGGUGCUGCAUGGUUGUCGUCAGCUCGUGCCGUGAGGUGUCGCUUAAGUGCCAUAACGAGCGCAACCCUUAUUUCAGUACUAACAGGUGAUGCUGAGGACUCUGAAGAGACUGCCAGCGUAAGCUGUGA
rnacentral:rRNA from 1 species